rnacentral:rRNA from 1 species
AAAAUUAUGAUGUCACUUUACUAGUAGUGUUGUCCAAAGCUGGUGCCAGAAGACUCGGUAAUGCCAGAGACGCAAGCGUUAGUCAUCCUGAUCAGGCGUAAAGGGUUUGUAGGCAGCUUUAAAUUAAUUAAAGAUAGAAUCAUAUAGAGGUCACUUUUAGAUAAUUCUUAGAGUAGGGUUGAUAUCUGUAGAUACUAAGAGGAAUACUAAUUAGCGAAGGCACUUUUCCAAAUUAUGAUUGACGCUGAGAAACGAAGGGGAGGAUAGAAAAUAGGAUUAGAUACCCUCGUAUCCCUCUCUGUCAACGAUGAAUGGUAGUUGCUAGUAUAAAUUAUUAAUGGCGAUGCUAACGCGUUUACCAUUCCCCCUUGGGAAUACCAAUGCAAAGUUGAAAACAAAA